UAUAGGUGGCGGGUCCACUAAUGAAUCAUUGUCUUUUGAUAUUUUUGUGUGUGUGUGUGUGUGCUGAACAGUUAUAGUGUCGGUGGUUUUGCCUAUAAAUUAGGCUUGUGAAUUUUGUAAGCAAACAGAAAAGAAUUAGAGACACACAGAGAAUAGAAAUUAAGGAAAAAUACAGUGAGCUGAGACAGUGAAGGCUAGACUUGCGAUUUUGAUGAUCAAGUGUUGAUUAUUUAUUUUACAGUUUUCAGGUACCGAGGAUGAACUUGGAUUGCUAGUAGCGGGCUUAGGUGGAAGGGUUUAUUUUAGAGAUGUUGUAUCAUUUAUUUGAGGAAAUUGAUGAUGUAUCAAUAAAGUGAUAUUUUAUUUAUUUUGAGAUCCUAGGAGUGUAAUACUGAUGUAUUUGGAUUUGAACAAAUCGAAGAAUUUAUUUAGAAAA